rnacentral:lncRNA from 1 species
UAUAAAAAAACUGUUGUAUGAUUAUUAUCUGUAAGGGAAUAAAUGGAGAGAUGAUAAAUUUUGACAGAGUGCAUGGUGUACAGUGAUGUUGGUUGAAUGGUUAAGCAUGGCGUGUGGGCGUGAAGAAGCAAAACCAUGAGAGACUGAGACUGAAACUGAAAAUGGUGUGAGAGUGGUGAGAGAGAGAAGAAGAGAAGAAAGAGCACGAGUGGCCAAAGGGGUCCAAUCAUAUGCCUCCUGUGUUGUCAUUUUCUUCAUUUUCUUAUUCCACUCUGCACCUUCUCAACAUAAAACACAGACACAGACAACUUCUCCCUCAGACACUGUCUCUGUCAUCAACAUCUUCUGUCCCUCCAACCCUUCCACGUACUCACAACACACCCAUUUCAAUUAAUAUAC